rnacentral:lncRNA from 1 species
CUUCAUAAUUGUUCAAGCCAAACGCCGCUGUCGGAACAAUCCAAAAUACUCUAAUUUCACUUCCCCCGCAUAGUCUCAAUCCGCUUGCAUAAAAACCAAACUUCAAAAUGAAAGAAAAAUCGUUUCGGUUUGUGUGCGAUUGUUUUNGGCAGACAGAUUGAAGGAUUCAUAUAGUAUAUCAUUAUUACUAUUGCCUGAUGAAUAUGUCAGCCUCGCAGUGCCUUCUUCAAGGUCAUUACCAUUUCUCUAUAUACCUUGUUUUCAAAUCAGACGGGNAAUUUCACGAAAAAAAUCUAAGGCUUACGGUAAACAUUUAGCUUUCCAAUGAACUACGCGACGAUUCAACGGAAGAAAGUCGAUCAUUUCUCCCCACACUCUAUUACAAUAGAACCUUGCNUUUCGCUUUCUACUUACAGGUUAGCUUGCAACUUGGCUCAUUUUCUGAUCUGCUCACUUAUCAAUCCAUCACACAAUCUUAAUGGCAUUACUACAGCGCUCAAUCUAAAUGCAGUCGACUAACCAAGCUAGAAAGGACGGCAGUGUCGUUACACUAUUAGAAAAUAUUGGAGGGGAUGGAAAANGGACUUCUUGUGUACCACAAGAAUUCAAGGGAAAUUCUCCAUAACACNAUCACGGUUGCUCCAAGCUAUGAAGCCUAAAGUCUCUUCAAAACCCAUGUCAAUUAGUGUGGCANCCAUUAAUUUGACAAACCAACAACAAUAAGUCAAUCAGAAUGAANANAUUUUGUAUUGCUGUCUGGCCACCCUUUAUGGACAAAUUGACGCUAACUUCUCAUCAUUGCCACAAAGAAAUCAAAAAUUAAGCAUGAACAAAACAUGUCUGAGGGUCAUCACAGGUUAACCAAACACAUGGAAGUUUACUACACAUGACAUGUCAUUAACACACAGCAUUUACAACAGCAAAGAAAUGAUCCAUUUGGUAGCAAAGAUUGAAAGAAAAGGAAGAUGUUUAACAGUGUUUUGACCAAAGUUACCCCCUGCUAAGAGGUUAUCUAUGAAAACCAUUUGACAAACAUCCUACAGCACAGGAAGAAUGACAGACUGUGACANCCAUUUAUGUUGAAGCAGUUCAAGAUUCUACAUUAAAAUGUCAUCAAACAUAAUCCUUGGCAUUUGAAAUGNCUAUGGAACAGUUAUACUUUGUACACAAAUCAAUAGCGACAACUGGACCUCGCACAAGGACGCCAAUACACUUAAUACAGGGAAAAGCAAGAUGACGGAAGUUCGUCAGCAAUGAAUCUACGUAUCAGCGUAUUUCAAGGUCAUCAAAUAAGGGAAAGUUUCUAUACAUCAAGUCAUAAUUCUGCGCAACUUUAAAGGUUAUUGCUUUACUUACAACACCGAUGAAGGAAUGCACCGAAUGUCNACAGAAUGGAUGCAAUUGGUUCUANAGCUGUGUAGAAAAUGAAGAUCACUAAUCUAGAUAAAAAGGCUUGAAUNAUUGGAAUCUUUUUUCAAGGAUCAACAAAUCAUGUUUAAUUGGUUCAAGUAAUUAUUACAAUCAUCUAUACCACGAUAUCACUCGUAUACUUUAUGGUUAAUUGAAGAGUNAUUCUCAAAAACCGUUUUGUUGGAUCAAGUUUAUAUGCUACUAGUCACGACCUUCGUCAUGGUUAAGUAUAUCGGCCGGACGUCAGCCCACGUCGAACAUGUCAUUUUUGACUUNACUGAAUUAACGCACGACCAAAUUGGACAACAGAACUUCGAUUAACAGAAAGGUUAAUGUAUUCAUCACUAAAUAGAUCUAUAUCAUCAAAUAUACAUGUUUCAAACGUCACACUUUGCGGGUUAUGAAUUCGAAGUCUAAGGUCUACUAUUUGGUGAUGUGAAAAACUGAUAAUAGUCUCAAAGACAAGGUGUGGAUCAGGGCGACGUGUCGUACAGUUUUAACGUCCUUGUAAAGUUAAUGUUGUCUGUAAUUCAUCUACGGCGAGCUGUCGUUGCGUAGGAAGACGUUUUGACCACUAGUGAUCAUAAUGCAACUAAUAGUAAUUAAUUUAAUAAAAAGAGGAAGGAUAAAAUGAUAUUUCAUGUGUGCUUGUGGUCAAUUAUGUGUUCAACUAUCAUUAAUGCAUGGUCAACUGUCCAAGACUCACAGGAAGUAAUAAUUUGAUGAUGCAUGAAUAAUUAAGCUUGUAAGACCUUUUGCAGUACCAAAGUCUACUAUGCAACAAAAGAUANCCUUACCUGUACCAAGGAAAGCCUUUUCACACUUCCUUCGUCGAUAGAAAGACUNUUUGCAAGAGUAAGAUCGAGUUUUGUACUGUUUAUAUUAAUUUGACGUCCACAGAAAACCUAGCGAGUACAAUUAAAGUGAUGAA